UCUCUCUCUCUCUCCCACGAGGAUGAAAUUUUCAUCAACAAUAAUCAUAACAACAACAACAACAACAUCAAAAUCGACAAAAACUCAAGUUUGCUGAAUUCGUUGCUUUUCAGUUCUUCUUUCGAUCUAGUUCCAGUUCUAGUUUUUUUGCUUGUUAAAGUGUUUUGUUUUCCUUUUCUCUCUUAUUGCUCACUUGUUCAUUUUUCUUAAGAAUUCGGGUAGUGUCUCUACCCGAAUCAAAUAUCCGAUAUUUUCCGUAUCAUCAACUUAUCAUUUAUUUUUUCAACAACAAAACAA